AAAGUCCCUUUGAUUUUUGGCAUCUAAUAUAUAUGUAGUGAUGGAGACUUAAUUCAUUAGCAAGCUUAUGGUAAUAACAUGCUAUAUUUUGAUUCUAAGAGCAAAUGUACCCUAAACACUUUGAGAGUUUUGAGUGAAACCAUGUUAGGGUGUUAAGUCUUGUUGCAUUUGAUUUUGAUGGAUUAGUGAGACACUUUUUUUUUUUGUUACAAGAUUUAUCCUAUGAGUGAUAUUCUCUUGAUUAUCAUUAUGAUUUAACUCAUUGAUGUAUGUUUAACUUAUUUGGUAUUUUUGGAUAUUGAAAGAGAUGAAAAGGAAGUAGAGUGAGAAUUGGUAUGUUGAGUUGAGAUAUGCUUGAGAACAAGCAUGGAUUAGGUGUGGGGGGAAUUUGAUAGAUCAUAAAUAGUUAUACUUAUUCUGUUUAAUUCUCUUAUAUUUUGAUUGGAUAUUAUGCUUAAUUGAGGAAAUUGUGUUUAUUCUGAUCUAGGUGAUGAAAUAUCAAGAAUUGAGCGGAAUUCAGCUUAAAGACUUGUUUUAAAGCAUCACUUGUCAAAAAUCAAGUUUUUUGGAGGAAGAGUGAAUAUUUAUGCAGAAGGUCAUUUUCAAGAAGGUGUGGCCAUGCUCUAAACUCUGUGAGCUGCUGAAAUCUGUUGAAGAGACUUUCGAACUUUUUAAGUUAAAUUUAUGGUAGGCCCACUUUUGUAUUAUUUCCUUUAUUU
rnacentral:lncRNA from 1 species